rnacentral:lncRNA from 1 species
AUCUUUGUGUAACUUGAAGUCACUAAAAGUAGAAAUGAAACCACUUUCAUAUUACUCAUCCAAAGCACUGAUAGAUGCCAAAAUAGCGCAGCUGCCUACCAUUUCACGGGAAGAAGUUUCCAAGAUAAUAGAAGAAUUUAAAUUUAGAUCUUCAUCCAUACCUGAUGGAAUAGUUGCCUCUUUACUACAAAACUCACCUUCAGCAGAAGUUCAUAUAAUCGACUAGAUUCAAAAGGUGAAAUGUGCAUUCUACUUUUGAAAGAUAUAUUCUUUAGUUUGAUUUUUGCCUCCUCCGUUUAUAUUUCCCUUGAUCUCAUAUAUAGUUAUAAUUAACUUAUUAUCAUCAUAAGGAUCUGUAUCACUACAUGAUUAUAUCCAGGCUUAACUUGUGUGUGUGUGUGUGUGUUUGGAUGCUGUAUAUAGCAAGGAUUUGGGUGAGUUUUGUAUUUUGAUCGGCGUAGGUAAUUUUAGUUUCAAAGACUUUAUAUAUUGUUAUAGAUGAGAACAUUAAGUCAUGAUACUUUGUUGCCUUCAAAGUUAGAAGAACAAGUUAUGUAUAUAUUUCUCUUAGGAAAUUGUUUGUUUAGAAUUAGAGCUUUGUGAAUUAAUUUAUCAGCAAAAAUGCAGAGGUGUUAAUUUUUUUUUAUAUAUAUUUGUUUGAUGUUUUACAGCGUUCUUCCUUUGCCACAAAUAAACCAGAUGCUGUGACUAAAUUUAUGAAGAAGUCGAAGGCCCCUAAUGGAUUUGCAUAUAUCAACCUGUCAUUAAUGUAAAACAAAUUAAAUUGUCUAUGCAACUUAUGAGUGCAACCCUAUC